rnacentral:lncRNA from 1 species
CUGAGAGUUGUAUCGGCCGGUGACUGGUACAGUAUGGUAUCGAUAUGUGCUGUAUUGAACUGCUACACAUCGGAACCAAGGGAGGGAGAGGGGGGGAGGAGAGAGAGGGUGAGAGAGAGGCCAAGGCCUCUAGACUCACCUAAGAGAGAGAGAGAGACCGAGGCCAAGGCAUUUGAUAAUAGCUUCACAAAGGGACAAAGGCCAGAGGAGGAAUAAGAGAAGGAUAAAGAGGAAAAGCGAGGGCUUUGCAAGAGUUCAAAGCAGCUUUGAGCCAUCCAGAGCUGGCAAUGGGGAUCACAAGAGAGAGGGGGAGGGAAGAAGGGGAAGGCUUAGAACUAACCCACACGGCCGAACAAUCCCAUGUCGGUGUCAGUUCAAUUUGUUACUAGCCGAACUGCUCGGUUCAGGUUGGUUCCGCAUUCCUUGCUCCCAACUAACCUCUAAAUCCUAUCAAUGUUAAUAUGACCUAAUUUUGCAUGUCACAAAAAUGUAGAAUUAUUAGAUGUGUAGUCCUACUUUAGAAUCACAAUCAAGUUAGUCGCAAACAUCUUUCUUGUCAUCAUUAACUACAAUAGAAGGAAAAUACAAACCAUCAGCCCCAUAUGCCAUGGGUUGUCCAUUUUCAAUUUUUGGUUUUUAUUUUCAAAAUCAUGGAAAUCAAGACAUAAAAGUUGUUUGAUAGGUGAGCUUAUGUUUCCAGUUUUUAAAAGCCAUUGUCUAGUUUUGGGGAAAAGUCAAAGCUAAAAAUGCUAGCUUUCACUUCUUUCUCUGAAAACUGGUUCUCUUUUACCCUUGUCACCACCAUCACCACACCACCACUACCAUCACCACUACUAUCAUUACCACUACCACCGAUGCUGCCGCCACCAAUCAGCCACCGAAGCAACCCUACCAACACCCCCCCCCCCGGGGCCAUCACCGUUGCCGUAGCGACUAUCAAACAAGUUUCAAGUUUCCAAUAUUCGAAAAGGAAAAAAAUAAUUAGAUUUCGUUUUUUUAAAAGCUAAAAGUUGGUAGCCAUGACAAAUGCCACCUUAACGAUUAGUUUUUUUUCCAAAUACCAAAUUAUAUCUCCUUGUUUAACACAUUCACUUAAAUAAAUCAAAAUCCUAUGUAUAUAUGGUGAAUAAAGACUAAAAAGUGUGAAUAAAGACUAAAGAGUGCCUUUAAGAACAAAUGCAUUUCGUUUAGAUAUAUAGAGAACCAUGUUGCCCAUGGUUAGCCAAGCCCAACUAGUUUGGGAUUAUGGCUUGGUUGAGUUAAGAUGAGUUGAACAUUCCCCAUAGUCAACACCAGAACCAUUGCUUCAGACCCCAUCUAAAGUCACACCUCGUCAUCCUCCAAGGACAUGCUUCUCCAAACCCCUGCAAAUAACUGCAAACACGCACCAUGGGCUUGGUUCACAAUCCAAGAGUUAGGAGGGCUUGUCAAAAGGUUGACCACAACUAACAUAAAAAGUCAUACAAAGUGACAUCUGCCCAUUAGCAAUUAGGCUGCCAUACUGACGAAGCCUUACUUGAUGAGAAAUCCUAGAUUCUUGUGCUUUUUGGUUAAGACUUGUCGCUUUAGGAACGCUUCCUAAAGUGGAGCAUUUGUUGAAAAAACAUUCUUUAAUCUAUCGCUUCCCAUGUAUAAAAUAGUAGGCUUUUUUUUGGCUAAAUAAUAAUAGGCUUUCUAUAGCAUAUCAAAUGUGUACUCUUUUCUUAAAAAAGCCUUUUGAGAUAGCCUAAGAUAUUGUAGAGAAUAUAGAAUUAAGGCUUAUUCUUGACCUUUCUCCAACUCUAGAUUCCUCAAAU